rnacentral:snoRNA from 1 species
UAAGAUAAUCUAAGGAAUCUAUUUUUUAGUAGUCGUCCUCUUCUGAGUUACUCUAAGUAGCUACAGAUUCUCCAACCUGGCUGAUGACUUUCAGCCCCGAUGUCCCGGAGUGAGGCCUUGUUUACGUUUUGCUUCGGCGAGCGUGGCGAUGAUCUUCAGCUGACCAGUUGCGCACUUCGGUCGCACUGGGAGGCAGGACGUUGGCGGCAAUCUGACAGGC